GUCUGGAGGGGGGUCCAAUGCUCCAGCUCCAGCCCCGCCUGGUUGCCCAGUUCCCUGGGCUCCCCAACCGGCUCCUCCCCUCACCCAGCCGGGCACCGGGGCACAUACCCUGGCGAACCCGGCAAGCUGCCCAAAGCCUCGGAUCCCUCCCUUUCCACCCUCUUCAGCUUCCUCGAAAAAGCGGAAAAGCGGAAUCUGCAUGCCCAUAAACUCGCUUCGGGAGCCUUAGGAGUCAAAUUGGGCAUGCUCAGGACUUGGGGCGCCUGGCGUGGAGGAACUCUCCAGUCGCCCACAUCUGCACGUCUGGGCCAGAUGUGCAUCUGAUGCGUGAGGCGUUGGCGCCGGACUAGAGUUUGACUCCGGUCCCAGGGAGGGCGGCGGCGACGACCACAGUCGCCUUCUCCUUCCCGGCUUCCCAGCGAGAGCCUGACCGUGGGAGAUACCAAGUGCAGAGCCAGGGGAGCUGCACCAACUGGAGAAACCCGAGUGUCGAGUUCUCCCAGACCCCCUCCCUGCAACGCCACCCGGGCCGUACACAGGUAUUUGCAAAGAGGGAGCACUGUAAGCCCAGCACACCACCGAGGGUUGGAAAUAUACCGAGCUGAGCACUCUCGGGGGGAAGAAUAGGGAAUCGAGCACGUUUAUUCCCAUCGUCCCCUUUCCAACACCCCCUUCAGCUUCGGGCAGGAAUCGUUUGGAUCCCUGCAGCACACCAUCACCCCACCACCCACCCCCACCCCACCGCAAC